rnacentral:tRNA from 1 species
GUGGGUUGGCUCAGUGGUUAGAGCCAAGGUCUCGUAACCGAAAGGUUGCGGGAUCGAAUCCCGCUAGAGACUGACA